UACGGAGGGUGCAAGCGUUGUUCGGAUUUAUUGGGCGUAAAGCGCGUGUAGGCGGUCUCUUAAGUCUGAUGUGAAAGCCCCGGGCUCAACCCGGGAAGUGCAUUGGAUACUGGGAGACUUGAAUACGGGAGAGGGUAGUGGAAUUCCUGGUGUAACGGUGAAAUGUGUUGAUAUCAGGAGGAACACCCAUGGCGAAGGCAGCAGACUGGGCAUCGCCUGACGCUGAGGUGCGAAAGCGUGGGUAGCAAACAGG
rnacentral:rRNA from 1 species